AUACGGAGGGUGCGAGCGUUAAUCGGAAUUACUGGGCGUAAAGGGCGCGUAGGCGGUUAAAUCAGUCAGAUGUGAAAGCCCCGGGCUUAACCUGGGAAUGGCAUUUGAUACUGUUUAGCUAGAGUUUGAUAGAGGGGAGUGGAAUUUCCGGUGUAGCGGUGAAAUGCGUAGAGAUCGGAAGGAACAUCAGUGGCGAAGGCGGCUCUCUGGACCAAAACUGACGCUGAGGUGCGAAAGCGUGGGUAGCAAACAGAAUUAGAUACCCCGGUAGUCC
rnacentral:rRNA from 1 species